rnacentral:rRNA from 1 species
UACGAAGGGUGCAAGCGUUAAUCGGAAUUACUGGCGUAAAGGGCUCGUAGGUGGCCAACUAAGUCAGACGUGAAAUCCCUCGGCUUAACCGGGGAACUGCGUCUGAUACUGGAUGGCUUGAGUUCGGGAGAGGGAUGCGGAAUUCCAGGUGUAGCGGUGAAAUGCGUAGAUAUCAGGAGGAACACCGGUGGCGAAGGCGGCUCUCUGGACCACAACUGACGCUGAGGCGCGAAAGCUAGGGAGCAAACAGG